rnacentral:rRNA from 1 species
AAUGGGCGGAAGCCUGAACCAGCCAUGCCGCGUGCAGGAAGGAGGCCCUACGGGUUGUAAACUGCUUUUACCCGGGAAGAAACCGCCCCCUGUGGGGGGCGUUGCCGGUACCGGGGGAAAAAGGAUCGGCUAACUCCGUGCCAGCAGCCGCGGUAAUACGGAGGAUCCGGGCGUUAUCCGGAAUUACUGGGUUUAAAGGGUGCGUAGGCGGGGCUUUAAGCCGGCGGUGAAAUGCAGCGGCUCAACCGCUGGAAUGCCGUUGGGACUGGGGCUCUUGGAUACGGUCGGGGCGGGUGGAACUCGUGGUGUAGCGGUGAAAUGCAUAGAUAUCACGAGGAACGCCGGUAGCGAAGGCAGCUCGCCGGGCCGGUAUUGACGCUGAGGCACGAAAGCGUGGGGAUCGAA